CCUGAACGCUGGCGGCGUGGCUAAGACAUGCAAGUCGAACGACACAGUGGCGAACGGGUGAGUAAUGCAUCGCUAAUCUGCCCUGAGCUCGAGGAUAGCGGAGGGAAACUUCCGGUAAUACUCGAUAGUCCUCAAGCACCGCAUGGUGUUUGUUGCAAAGCUUUAUGCGGCCCAGGAUGAGGCGAUGUGGUAUCAGCUAGUUGGUAGGGUAACGGCCUACCAAGGCUUCGACGCCUAGCCGGACUGAGAGGUCGGCCGGCCACAUCGGGACUGAGACACUGCCCGGACUCCUACGGGAGGCUGCAGUAACGAAUCUUCCGCAAUGCACGAAAGUGUGACGGAGCGACGCCGCGUGCAGGACGAAGCCCCUCGGGGUGUAAACUGCUGAAAGGAUCAAGUAAGACCUGAACUGGUCCCUAUAAGGGGCGACUAACUCUGUGCCAGCAGUCGCGGUAAUACAGAGGCCCCAAGCGUUAGGCGGAAUCACUGGGCUUAAAGCGUGCGUAGGCGGCUCUUCAAGUGCUUUGUGAAAGCCCUCGGCUCAACCGAGGAACUGCUUGGCAUACUGGGGAGCUUGAAUCAUCUAGGGGCAGCUGGAACUGACGGUGGAGCGGUGAAAUGCGUAGAUAUCGUCAGGAACGCCAACGGCGAAAGCAGGCUGCUGGGGAUGCAUUGACGCUGAGGCACGAAAGCCAGGGUAGCGAACGGGAUUAGAUACCCCGGUAGCCCUGGCCGUAAACGAUGUCCACUAGGCCGUGGAAGGACUGACCCUUUCACGGUCGCAGCAAAAGUGUUAAGUGGACCGCCUGGGGAGUACGGUCGCAAGGCUAAAACUCAAAGGAAUUGACGGGGGCUCACACAAGCGGUGGAGCACGUGGUUUAAUUCGAAGCAACGCGCAGAACCUUACCUGGGCUUGACAUCCUAGGAUUAUCUCUAUGAAAGUAGAGUACGCCUCUUUGAGGUGGAACUAGGACAGGUGCUGCAUGGCUGUCGUCAGCUCGUGUUGUGAGAUGUCGGGUUAAGUCCCUUAACGAGCGAAACCUUUGCCCUUAGUUGCCAGCGGGUAAUGCCGGGGACUCUAAGGGGACUGCCGGUGUCAAACCGGAGGAAGGUGGAGACGACGUCAAGUCAUCAUGGCCCUUAUGUCCAGGGCUACACACGUGCUACAAUGGCGCGGACAAAGCGAGCCGAAACCGUGAGGUAGAGGAAAUCGCAAAAACCGCGCCCAAGUUCAGAUCGAAGGCUGCAACUCGCCUUCGUGAAGUUGGAAUCGCUAGUAAUCGCGGAUCAGCUACGCCGCGGUGAAUGUGUUC
rnacentral:rRNA from 1 species